GAAUAGUAAAUUCCGGCGACUUACACCAAAACGUUCACAACAAUGAUUAUAACAACUUUAAUGAAUAGAUUAUACCUCAAUGAUAGCCGGAAGAACCCGAAAAUGUGUUGGAAAUUCGUCAACUUUGGAGACUCGGUUCUCCCUGUACAGUACAAAGCAGCUUGUAAUUCUUGUACCAAAAGAAAGAGGACUUCACGACAAAUCUGCAGCCAUCGACUUUGCGUAAAUUCGGGUUGAAAGGAAGGAGUUAUCUUAAGUCAAAGUUUGAAGUUUUGAGAAGAAAAAAAAAAAGAAGAGAGAAGAAAACCAGAAGAAAAAAAAUAUUUCUAUUUAAACCCCACAGUUUUCUUUGUUCACCCAAUACUUAAAUCAUUAAGAGCUUGUCUGUAAUGUUUUUAGAGAAUAUUUCAGAAAAUGAAAACGAGAAAACGAAUUUGCAUUUUCAUGAUUUGAGAAUGCAUUUGGUAACUUAAUUAGAAUAUAGUCUCAAAGAACGAAAACAGUGAUAACGUGUCUGGUAACAUAUAAACAAUGAAAAAUGCAUAAUUUAACCACACAAAUAUAUAUGUUUUUUAAAGGUUGAAAUUAUUAUAAACAAUUGAAAAAAAUAUAAUUUAACAAGUAAAAAAUUCUAAUGUUUUUUAAAGGGUAAAAUUAUUUUUUCUAUUUUCUAUUUUCCUUUUUCUCAUCUUCCUUUCUUUCUCCCUUUUUUUCCUUUCUCUUUCUUUUUCUUCUUCCCAGGCCAUGUUUUUUUUUUCUUUCUUCCUCCUAUCCUAUGAUCGUUACUAAUGGCUGGUAGUAGUUGGUUGUUGAAUCAAAUUAAGACCAUCUUUUUGACUUGUUUGCUAUAUACGUAAGCUGUGUUACGUAAGUUGGAAUAAGCAAGUGUGAAGUCGUCGUCUCCGGGACCUUCAAAGUCCUUUUCAGCUACAUGUUUUAUAUCUGGAGUGAAGAAAAGAGUUAAUAAAAGCAUUAAUUGGGGAGGACGAAAGCACAUGGUAGGUUUGGAAGGACGGACGCCCGGUGUUUCUCUCCUCCACACAAUUAUUCUUCAGCAAUGCUAACCGAAAAAUUAAUAAGCGACUAAACUGGCUGCGUUGCUCUCCAGGAUUUGUGUAAUCAAUUGUAUAUGUAAUAUUCUUAUGUGUAUCAGAGCUUUCUAGGUUUAACAAACCCUAAACACCGAUCCUCUUUCUCUCUCUCUCUCUCUCUCUCUCUCUCUCUCUCUCUCUCUCUCUCUCUCUCUCUCUCUCUCUCUCUCCUAACUACGUUUGGGUCUGAGGUUUUAGUCUUAUUUUGAUAGACCAAUAUUUACUCUCGUAUGGAAAACUUGUGGUUGCGGAUAUCCUUGGGUUUUGAAUUUGAUGUAAUUUUGUUUUUGGUCUGUGUGUAUUUUAGCCCUUGCUUAACAUAAACGAAAAUAAAUAAAUAAACCUUCAUCAUCUGAACAUGAGAAAAAAGAUACCUCUGGGUCAUGGCUGGGACCUGUAUAACUUAUUUUGUCUCUCAGUUGACAAAAAAAGACUUUGACAUCAUGACAACAGCCUCUACACAAGUUUUAAUUUAUCAAAAUCAAAUAACUUACAAUAUUAUAAUUUGGCUAUAACAUAUUUGAAUAACACCAAAACACAUUGUUUCAAUGGCAAGUUAUGACGAUCUUAUAUAAAUAAAAUAUUCCAAAGAAAAUUAUAGAAAGCUAGGUUAUGUC
rnacentral:lncRNA from 1 species